rnacentral:rRNA from 1 species
AGAGUUUGAUCCUGGCUCAGGAUGAACGCUGGCGGUAUGCUUAACACAUGCAAGUCGAACGGGAUCUUAGGAUCUAGUGGCGGACGGGUGAGUAACGCGUGAGAAUCUGGCUUCAGGUCGGGGACAACAGUUGGAAACGACUGCUAAUACCGGAUGUGCCGAAAGGUGAAAGAUUUAUUGCCUGAAGAUGAGCUCGCGUCUGAUUAGCUAGUUGGUAGUGUAAGAGACUACCAAGGCGACGAUCAGUAGCUGGUCUGAGAGGAUGAUCAGCCACACUGGGACUGAGACACGGCCCAGACUCCUACGGGAGGCAGCAGUGGGGAAUUUUCCGCAAUGGGCGAAAGCCUGACGGAGCAAUACCGCGUGAGGGAGGAAGGCUCUUGGGUCGUAAACCUCUUUUCUCAGGGAUGAAAAAAAUGACGGUACCUGAGGAAUAAGCAUCGGCUAACUCCGUGCCAGCAGCCGCGGUAAUACGGAGGAUGCAAGCGUUAUCCGGAAUGAUUGGGCGUAAAGGGUCCGCAGGUGGAACUGAAAGUCUGCUGUUAAAGAAUCUGGCUCAACCAGAUAAAAGCAGUGGAAACUACAGAACUAGAGUACGUUCGGGGCAGAAGGAAUUCCUAGUGUAGCGGUGAAAUGCGUAGAUAUUAGGAAGAACACCGGUGGCGAAAGCGUUCUGCUAGGCCGUAACUGACACUGAGGGACGAAAGCUAGGGGAGCGAAUGGGAUUAGAUACCCCAGUAGUCCUAGCUGUAAACGAUGGAUACUAGGCGUGGCUUGUAUCGACCCGAGCCGUGCCGUAGCUAACGCGUUAAGUAUCCCGCCUGGGGAGUACGCACGCAAGUGUGAAACUCAAAGGAAUUGACGGGGGCCCGCACAAGCGGUGGAGUAUGUGGUUUAAUUCGAUGCAACGCGAAGAACCUUACCAAGGCUUGACAUCCUGCGAGUCUUUCUGAAAGGAGAGAGUGCCUUCGGGAGCGCAGAGACAGGUGGUGCAUGGCUGUCGUCAGCUCGUGUCGUGAGAUGUUGGGUUAAGUCCCGCAACGAGCGCAACCCUCGUUUUUAGUUGCCAGCAUUAAGUUGGGCACUCUAGAGAGACUGCCGGUGACAAACCGGAGGAAGGUGAGGAUGACGUCAAGUCAGCAUGCCCCUUACGCCUUGGGCUACACACGUACUACAAUGCUACGGACAAAGGGCAGCUACACAGCGAUGUGAUGCAAAUCUCAUAAACCGUAGCUCAGUUCAGAUCGAAGGCUGCAACUCGCCUUCGUGAAGGAGGAAUCGCUAGUAAUUGCAGGUCAGCAUACUGCAGUGAAUUCGUUCCCGGGCCUUGUACACACCGCCCGUCACACCAUGGAAGUUGGUCACGCCCGAAGUCAUUACCCCAACCGAAAGGAGGGGGAUGCCGAAGGUAGGACUGGUGACUGGGGUGAAGUCGUAACAAGGUA